AUUGAACGCUGGCGGCAGGCCUAACACAUGCAAGUCGAGCGAGUGGCGGACGGGUGAGUAAUGUCUGGGAAACUGCCUGAUGGAGGGGGAUAACUACUGGAAACGGUAGCUAAUACCGCAUACCAUCGGAUGACCCCAGAUGGGAUUAGCUAGUAGGUGGGGUAAAGGCUCACCUAGGCGACGAUCCCUAGCUGGGCUGAGAGGAUGACCAGCCACACUGGAACUGAGACACGGUCCAGACGCCUACGGGAGGCAGCAGUGGGGAAUAUUGCACAAGGGGCGAAAGCCUGAUGCAGCCAUGGCGCGUGUAGGAAGAAGGCAUUAGGGUUGUAAAGUACUUUCAGCGGGGAGGCGUUACCCGGAGAAGAAGCACCGGCUAACUCCGUGCCAGCAGGCGCGGUAAUUC
rnacentral:rRNA from 1 species